rnacentral:rRNA from 1 species
AGGGAUUGCCUUAGUAACGGCGAGUGAAGCGGCAACAGCUCAAAUUUGAAAGCUGGCCCUUUUAGGGUCCGCGUUGUAAUUUGUAGAGGAUGAUUCGGCGAGGGCUCCUGCCUAAGUCCCCUGGAACGGGGCGUCAUAGAGGGUGAGAAUCCCGUAUGCGGUAGGUUGCCUUAGCCAUGUGAAUCUCCUUCGACGAGUCGAGUUGUUUGGGAAUGCAGCUCUAAAUGGGAGGUAAAUUUCUUCUAAAGCUAAAUACUGGCCAGAGACCGAUAGCGCACAAGUAGAGUGAUCGAAAGAUGAAAAGCACUUUGGAAAGAGAGUUAAAAAGUACGUGAAAUUGUUGAAAGGGAAGCGCUUGCAACCAGACUUGUCCGCAGUUGCUCAGCCGGUCUCCUGACCGGCGUACUCUUCUGCGGCCAGGCCAGCAUCAGUUCGGGCGGUCGGAUAAAGGCCUCGGGAAUGUAGCUCCUCUCGGGGAGUGUUAUAGCCCGGGGUGGAAUGCGACCAGCCUGGACUGAGGAUCUCGCUUCGGCAAGGAUGCUGGCGUAAUGGUUGUAAGCGGCCCGUCUUGAAACACGGACCAAGGAGUCUAACAUCUAUGCGAGUGUUCGGGUGUCAAACCCGUACGCGUAAUGAAAGUGAACGGAGGUGGGAACCCGCAAGGGUGCACCAUCGGCCGAUCCUGAUGUCUUCGGAUGGAUUUGAGCAAGAGCAUAGCUGUUGGGACCCGAAAGAUGGUGAACUAUGCCUGAAUAGGGUGAAGCCAGAGGAAACUCUGGUGGAGGCUCGCAGCGGUUCUGACGUGCAAAUCGAUCGUCAAAUUUGGGUAUAGGGGCGAAAGACUAAUCGAACCAU